rnacentral:rRNA from 1 species
CGAGCGAAGAUGAAUGAAGAACUUGGAGCUGGUAUGGGGAAUCCGACUGUUUUCUCUACACCAAGCAUUGCGAUGGCCGGAAAUUGUGUUGACGCAAUUUGAGCCUAGUGCUCUAAAUGUCGGUGUGAAGAAGUUCAACCAAGCGCGGGUGAACGGGGGGAGUACCCAUGACUUCCUUCAGGAAGCC